UACGUAGGGUGCGAGCGUUAAUCGGAAUUACUGGGCGUAAAGCGUGCGUAGGCGGUUCCUCAAGUCCGUUGUGAAAGCCCCGGGCUCAACCUGGGAAUGGCAGUGGAAACUAGGGGACUGGAAUCUGGCAGAGGGGGGUGGAAUGCCGCGUGUAGCAGUGAAAUGCGUAGAGAUGCGGCGGAACACCGAUGGCGAAGGCAGCCCCUGGGCUGAGAUUGACGCUCAGGCACGAAAGCGUGGGGAGCAAACAGG
rnacentral:rRNA from 1 species